GUGAGCUUUGACCACCCCAGUACCUCCUGUAACUGUAGUGUUGAUGCAUUACGUCUGAGUUUUAUUCUGUAUGUAUGAGCACAAGAUCAGUGGUCCUAAGCUGGGGUACUAUAAUGCUUGUUUAUAGUAGUUUUACAUCUCAAAUUUUAUUUUAAAUCUUUAAUUUAUUGAAGCUUAAUUUUAAAUAGUGUGAAGUAAUGGUCAAAUUUCCUUAUUCUACUCUUGGACACACAUUUUUUUUUGCAGCAGUAUUUUUCUCAAGAGAUCUUCUUUAGGACAAAUUGACCAUAGUGUGUCAAUUUGUUUAUGUUCCAUUAACUUGUAUUUCUGGUUUUGUAUCAGUAACUUGUUGUUUAUCUUACUAUACUACGCUGUGUAAUAUGAUUUGAUGUCAGGCAUUUUGGUAGUUCUCAUAAUUUUUUGCUCAUGAUUGCUUGACUAUUUGGGAAUUAUGUAUGUUGGCCCAUUUUAGAAUUAUUUCUUCUAUUUUUAUGAAAUACAUAUUUAUAUAUUGAAAUAGAUAUCACUAUAUAUGUAUAUAUAACCUGUGCACUUCUGUAAGUAGUAUGGAUAUUUUAGCCAUUUUAGGUUUUGAUUUCCCUUUAGAGCCUGCUUCAUUUUUUUUUCAGCAAUUUGUACUUUUCUAACACGUAUUUAGUCUUCUAUUAAACUUAUUCCUUAGUAUUGUAUUUCUUCUAAGGCUAUUAAAAAUGGAAAUGUUUUUCUUGAUUUAUUUUUAAAUAUUAAUUUAAAUUAUAAUAAAUGAUAUUGAGUAUUUUAUGUCAAUUUUAAAUUUUGCAUCAAUAAUUAUGUUUAUUCAUUCUAAUUGAAUGUGGAAGAAUCAUUGUGAUUUUCUGUAUAUAAAACUAUAAAAAUCACUUAUCUACUAAUGGAAAUAACUUUACUCUUUUCUUCCAGUUUCAGUGUCUUACAUUUUCUAUUCUCAACUGCUUGCUCUAAGAUUGCAAGCAUUAUGUUGAUUUGAAGCAAUGAAAGGAUUGUGGAAAAAAAUUAAAUUAAAGCUCAUUGUAUAAGACCUAUGUUGAUAUACCUUCCUUUCAUAUCUAAUUUCCAGAGCAUUUCAUCCUAACAGGAUGUUUCAUUUUGUUUGAAACAAUUUUGCAACUACUAUAAUGGUCAAAUAAUUUUUAAAUUAUUUUGUUUGUGUAUGUUGUUAAUCUUAUUGAUUUACAUGGCUAAAAUACCCACAUGCAGUGAUAAAUCCUACGAGAUAUACGAUGGCAGUAAUUUUUAAAAUUUAUUUAUUAAUUUAUUGAUUUAUUUUUGGUACCAGGGAUCAAACUCAAGACCUUGCACUUGCUAGGAAGGCAUUUUUGUUGCUGAGCUAAGUCUCUGACAACAGCAUUUUGAUGUUGAAUUAUUCUGAAAAGUUUUCUAUCUGUUUCCAUAAGGAACAACAAUCUCUUCUUUCUUUCAGUAUUAUCAUCUGAAUUUGUCACCGUAGUAACUCUACAAUUGUAAAAUAUGUAAAGUGAUGGUUGAAGUCCUCAAUUCUUUUGAGGGGGCUGAGAAUGCUGAUUUUAGUUCUUCUUUAAUCUUUGGUAACAUUAAAAUCUUUGGGUCCUGAGCUUUAAUGUUUGAUGAAUAUUUUUAUAACUGAUAAAAUGUUUUCAGUAGUUUUUUGUCCAUUCAGAUAUUCUGCUUCUUCUUUAUUUAGGGUUGGUAAACAGAAUGUUUUUAGAAUUUAAAUAUUUCUUCAAGCUUAUCUCUCUUGUACAUUGAGAGAGCUCAAGAUAUAGGCCUCUACAGAUACUUUUUAAAAGAUUUCUGAUGUUGUUCAUAAUUUUUCUUUUUGACUAAGUUUUGACUCCAUUAAUUAGUUUUACCUUGGAAUAAUUGUCAGUUUCAUUGAAAUUUUAAAGAAAUUUUAUUUCAUUGUUGAUUCCUCAUAUUGUUCUGGUCUCUUUAUUGCACCAUUGAACUUGAUUAUUCCUUCCUUCCAAAUUUGAGCACAAUUUGAGAAGCUAUUGCAAGUUCUUUAAUGGAAAAUUUACCUGAGCUCUUUAUAUUUUUCAUGUGGGAAUUCAUCAUAUAAAUGAUCCUAAUGAAACUACAUUUGCUGUAUAUGUUUUAAUAUGAUGCUUUUAGCUUCUUGGCUUUUUUUUUUUUUUCUUUUCCUGAAGUGAUCUCGACUUUCACUCUGUGUUCUUCUAUUUAAAUACAGACACAUUUUUCUCCUUUUUGAAUGAUAUUUACGUUACAUUUAUUUUUCAAUCUCUCCACUUUCAUUCAAUGUGUAUUAUUACAAACGAUGCAUAGAAUGCCACUGAUAUUCUGUAAAAGUGAUGGGUAAGAUUAUAGGUAAGGGAUUUAUUUUUCUUCUGAUACAGACAUUCACUUUACAUCUAGAUCUGGAAGGAAAACAGCUUCUUUUUCUUAGAGUUCCUCUUCAAUGCUAUGAGCAGAGACUGCUGCUGAAGAUGUAAUUUAAGAUGAUGCAUAAGCAUAGGUGGGCAUAUGGUGAAUGUAGGAAGCGAAGCCUUGCAGAGAACCAUGGCAGGGGCAUGGAGCUCACAGGCUGAUUGGCAAAUCCAGAAGUGCUGCCGUGUAGAGUGUGAUGGCAAAGAAGGAUGCAGCGUUUCAGGUCAUGCAAUAUCUUAGGGAAUUUGCAGCUGGACCAAAUCACGUACGAUUACAUUGAACUUGAAAAAAAAAGGUGAAACAUCUGUGCUCUGUCAUAUAUACAUGGAAUUAAAUAGUUUGUUUCAUAACUUAAGCACCACACCCUCAUAUGCAAGGAUAAUCAUGUUUUCUUUUGCAUUUGCCUUUUGUAGUGAAUGAAUUUCUACCAAAAUUCCAUUUGUUUGUCUUGCACUUCACUAAUCAAUUCUUUAAAUAUUUUACCUCUACUUCUCCUAGUAUUUUCCCUGUCCUCUAAAUGCUUUCUUUGAUUUAAAUUACUAUACCUAUUUAGAAAUCACUUAAAUCUGAUUGAUUCUGACCUAUUUCUGUUUAUGAUAAGCCAAACUCUUAGCAGUAAUGCUAAUUUUAAUAGUUUGUGUCUCAGUUUUAUUAUCUGUAAAGCAUGUCUAGAAUCAUCUUUUUUUCAGUAAUGUGAAACAUUACUGAAACUAACAAAUUAAACAGUCUUAUGGAGUGUUAUCUAUCUUAAACUUUAUGUUUUCUAUGUAGUUCAAGAUAUUAUCAGAAAAAUAGGCCUUCAUCACAGACAUAAAACCUUAUCAGCAUUUGUUAUUAGUUGAUUUGUUGAUGAGAGACAUCUUUUGGGGGGUAAAAUGGAAUCUCAUUGUUUUACUUUGCAUUUCUCUAGUGAUGAAUGAUGUUGAACAUUUUUUCAUAUAGGUGUUUUCCAUUUGUAUUUCUUAAUCUGAGAAGUCAUUUUUGGAUUGAAUCUUUGAAUUUUGAGGGCCCAAUUUUUAAAAAUUCUUUAUAUAUUCUAUAAAGAAGUCCUUUAUCUGAAGGACAGUUAGUGAAUUUUUUUUCCUAAUUAGUGGGUUUUCUUUCACACUGUUGGUAAUUGAGAUGCAAAAACUUUUAGUAUGAUGAGAUCUCAGUUGUUGAUCCUUUGAAGUUUUUCCCGGGUAAUUUGAUUUUUGUUCAUGAGUGUCUGUAUACCAAUAUUACUUCAAGAUUUAUAUCUACUUUGUCUUCCAGUAGAUUUAGCAAUCCUGUUUUAAUAUUUAUAUCUUUGAUCCAUUUUUACUUUAGUUAAAAGCAUGGUGCUAGAAAUUGGUCUAUAUCUGGUAUACUACUUUUUAUUACUUUUAAAAUAAAAAUUAAAACUUUAUCAGGCACUAUGUUGACAAUAUGCAGUUGCAUGAUAAUUAACUUCAUAUAUUUAAGUGCUUUCUUCUAAUGUAAAUAUUCAAAUGAUCUUCAUUUAUCUUUUCAUUUGUCUAUUUCUCCCAUUUAGUUAUAGAAGACUGUUUUUCUAGAUAUUGUGUUCUUUUAACAGUCAUCAGGGAGCUUUUGAGUGUGUGUGUGUGUGUGUGCACGCACACGUGUGUGCACCUAGGUGACCAUUAGGUAAAGCAAUCAGUUACAAGAAAGGCACAUGACUUUCCUUGGUUCUUGUCAAUGACUGUUGAUUAUUUGACACUUACCUACAGAAAAUAAGCAAGAUAAACAGUGUUUAAUUUUGCAACUGUAUUAUAUGGGAUGAGAAAAAACUUCUAUAGGUAAGAUAGCAUAGAGUCCAAAAGCAGAAGUAUUAGAUACUAGAUGAGAGAGUUAUCCCAGAAAAUAUGGCUUCAUUAAAAUAAAAUGUCCAAGUGAAUAUUUUCUGCUUGGUAGGUCAGGAUAGUUCUGUACUCUAGCAUGAAGAGCAGUGGAUCAGGUGUACAGGUGAGCUACAGUUUCAUCAUUUGUCAGUCUUCUUAAGGAGAUGAUACUGAGGUACAAUUAUAGGUUUUAGAACCAUUGAUAAAGGUAAUUGAAAGUUUAAAAUAGUACUCUACUUUCUAAUGUAAAAUCACUGUACAAAAGUAAAGUUAAUGAACAAUGAUGAAGUAGAUGUUGGAAAUACUGCAAAGGUUGAUGUCAAAGAUCAUGAAUAACUAAAACAAUAUUUUUGAAGAAAAUCCUAAAAAUAUUUGAGGACUUUGAAAAUUUGAUGCUGAGUAGAAAGGAGACUGUUUGAAGAGCAUUGUCAUUAAUCCCUGAGUAGAGAUCACUGCAAUUUGGUAUGAAAAUUACAAAGGCAGGAAAUAGGAUGACACGAAUGCUGCACAACUGAGAAUCUAGAAAUGAUAUUCAUGCAACAAAGAGAAUACAAGGAACUCUAAUGGCUUUAAAGUUUGCUGAUUUUACCAGCCUAUCAUUAGCUAACUCCAUCUAUUUAAGAUUUUGCUAAAGUGUCCACAACUUCAGUAUUUGAAGAGACAUCUUUACUAUGACAGCCUAUCAUUCAAAUUGUAGCUUAAUGCUUUAAAAUAAUUGCUUGAUUAUAAGCCUAGCACUCAAGCAGAAAAACCCAAAAUGAGAUCUCAAAAGUAUGUGCAAUACUCUUUUCUGUAAAAAUAGUGUUUGUCUUUAUUGUACUUUGGAAUCAGGCAGUUUGGAGAUGUAGUUCUUAAGAAAGAAAUUAUCGUACCCACACACAUCAAAAUAACUUACUAUGACUAGAAGCUGAAUGUGCUGUUUGUAUUUUUCAGCUUCCUUGCUCUGAAUUCAGUUAAUGAAGGCUUUCUGUCUCUUUAAUGACUGAUUCAAUUUGUUUGUUGAAAUAUGAGAGAUACAAGAAAACUAUGUCUAAUGUGUAGCACAUUACUUGUAUUACUCUUAAUCUCAUGUUCAGUGACAAAGGUCAGUGAAAAGUGAGAAGCCAUCAGACAUUGACCUGUGACCAUACUGAUUUACAGUUGAUGGAUUUGUGCUCACCCAGGCUCUUACAAACCCAGUGGACCAGAGAAGCUUCAAAGAUUAAGGAACAGGCUUAGUUUUCAGAUAGCUGGAUGUCCAGUUCUCAUAAGCUGGACUUUUGCCCCUUACUCCAAUCCAACAAAGCACAACAAACUCAUCAGAAAGCAAAUAUUAAACAGUUGCUUUCAAAACAUGGUAAAAUUAUAACACUGAAAGCCAAUUGAUAUGAUCACCUUUUAAACUCAGUAGGUAAAUCCAUUUUCAGUGUUAACAAAUACAUUGGAAAGAUUUGUGUUUUCAACAAUAUGUAUGUUCAAGAAGAGAUAAACAUUCUUUUCAUAUAGUCAUUUUCCGUAUCAUACAGAUACAUACAUGAAUUUCAAAUUAUCUUCAUACUAAUUGAUAUAUUUUAUCUCCUCAGUUACACAUCAAAUACUGAAAUGAAAAUUGUGGGUAGAAAUGUACCUAAUUUUAUAAGGAGAAAACAAGUUCAAUGAUAUAUUUUCUGAAGCAAAGAAAAACUGAUUGAAAUAUGAGUGUUUGGCUUUAAUUAUUGUUUUGUAAUGAUAAAUAGUCCCUGUCUUUAUUGCUGAGGACCAAUUUAAUGCAAUAUAAGACGAUAAUAAUUAGCAUUAACAAUUUGGCAUAAAAACACAUUGAGAGUGUUCUAGGUCUAUGAGACUUCUGGUGAGAGCUGUCAUUGGUUUAGGAGAGAUUAAUCUUUGAGCUGAGGCUGGCAAACAGACAGUGAAUUCUGGUGCAAAUCCAAAGUAAGAUAAAACAGCAGUUGAGGACUUUAACUCCUGCAAAUUCUGUCUAGCUCAGUAAUUAUACUCAGCAGAAAAUGAGGUUGCCAGUUACCCCUGAUGGGUUCCUGUGUGAUUUUCCAAAACUUCCUGUUCCUCAAUUCUUGAAUCUUGCCUGCAUCAGCAAUUCACCUCAUACUUUAUGGCCUUAGUCUGUCACAGAUCUUCUUGCACCCUGGAGGGCUUGGUUACUGCAAUGUAUAUAUUUUGUCUGUAUUUUAUUCUGUCAUCAUACCUCUGAGCAGGCGACCAGUGGUUCUAGGCAUGGGUGCCAAUAAAUGGCGCCAUAUGUGUGGCACUAUAGCCUGAUUGCAGAUGACCACCUGAGACACCACUGGAGACCAGAGAAGAGGACAGGACUUCAUAUGAUGAAUAAUAGGACCACCUAAAGUGUGAGGUAGCUGAUUACUUGAUGUGAAAAGGUUUUCAACUGGGAUUAAGAAUGUGACAAGACGUACCAGCUGAGAGGGGAAGAGAACAAGAAGUCACCAAGAAGCAAACUAGGGCAACAGCCAGACCGCAGCACCUCUCCAUGAGCAGGCUGGGCAACAAGAAGAGCCAACCCUUCUCUGUCCCAUCGAGAGACUGGUGAUCUGGAGAAACACAGGCUGUGAUGACCAUGAGUAUUGAGGUGUAAUGCAAUCUGAUGCUUGUGGUGUUUGGUGUUUCACUGACUUUACAUAUCUAGGGCUGGUGGUGUGACCAUCUAUUUGGAGGAUAACCAUAUGCAGUGUGGUAUCUGGUGGGAUCUCCUUCUGAGGGUAGUGGCCAUUGUUCAUUCCCUAUCAUCUUGUUUUGAAGUGCUGUAUAAUUUUCAUUGUUUUCUUGUUUUAAGCUUUAUUUGGUUUUGCUUUGUUUGAUUUUAUUACAUCUGAUGGCAUGGGCAACUAUUUCUAAGCUAGCAAAAUAUAUUAUGAUAGCAUUUUGGACUUAGUUUUAAUAUUGUCUUGUUAUGAAGUCCUUUGUAGCAUUCAUUGUUUUGCUUUAUUGGUUCUACUCUGUACUGUUUUGUUUGUUUUUCCUAUGUCUGAAGGUAUGGGCAACUAUUCUGAAGACAACAGGAGUCAUUAUUGUAACCAUUAUUGAUUUCCUAUUGUUUUGAAGUCCUGUGUCACUUCCACUAUUUGUUUUGAUUGGCUUUAUCCUAUUUUAUUUUGCUUAGUUUUAUUCUCUUUAAAGUAAAAAAAAAUCUAAAAAAAAAGAGAAAAAUGUUAUGGUCAUUUAAGCAAUAACAAUAUUCAAUAUUUGUGAAUAACAUUAACUGCUUUUAGUAAAUUACAGAUAGGUUAGAACUCUCUCACACUAACAAAGGGAUAAUAACCUUUUAAAAAUGAAAAGUCAAAACUUUCAUUUUGAUUUAUUGUGAAAAGUCUCAUUAUCAUGAGAACAAUCCAAAUUAUGAUUUAAAAACAUGUUAUUUCAAAUGUACUUUAAACUACUGCAGUUUAAUAAGAAAAAACGUAUCCAAACAAAGAAGAGCUAGGGAGAGGUAGGUUAUCAGUUAUCAAUCUUUCUAUGCAACUAAUGAUGCUUUGGAAUGUAGCAAAUAGAAAAGAAUGGGCAGGUAGAGUCUAACUGAGAGUAAAAUCGACUCUAUUGCAUAACAAUGAUGUAUGAUUUGUUUAAAUAUGUAGAACAAAGUUCACACUGCUACGGAAAGCAGACCAAACAUGGGAAGAAAUGGCACUGAGAAGGUUUAGGAGUCUGUUUUUUACACCAGUGGACUCUGACUAAAAUCUCUCCCAAAGACCUAGUGCCCACUUUGUCUGAGUUUUAGGGCUUUCGAAGGAAAAGGAAGAGGAGAGGUACAUAGACCGAUCAUAGAAGAUUUGGCACAUUUGAUCAGAGGGUUGGUGGCAUCAUGGGAUGCUGAAGGAGUCUGAACAUCUCCUUAUAGGCUAACAGUUACACAAAGGCAAUAAAAACAAGGUUUACACAAAGGGAGGAGUGUGCUGAAAUCUGGCUUGCCUGGACCUGACCACUGGAUUUGGAUGGGGUUCGUGGCGGGCUUCCUUAGCAGGUCUUUGUCUAAAAUUUUAAUUCCCUUUUAUAACCAAGCAAAUUAUAUCAUAAACAUAAAACCACGCUCAUUAUAGUUUAUGGCAGUUUGUUACUGGACUAGGUCAAAAGGCUUUCUUCCUCUUAUUCUUGACAUUACAAUUUCUUAUCUAAAUAAGAAACUGUAUGUCAUAGGAAAGACAUAUACUAGAAGGAUUUUUGAUUUUUUACCUGGCAAAAGUAAUAUGUUUUAUUGGAUUACCUUACAUUUCUGUUUGAUUUUUGCUUGUUUUGUGUUAGAGAGCAAGGCAAUCCAUUCCGCCUUACCUUUUCUCAAGGCCUCAUUUUGUAUUGUGCCUAUUGACAGCAAAGUCUCCAGACAUUCUAAAUCUCCCCUAGUUUGGUGCAAGGUAGGUCAAUGAAUUUCUCCCACUCUUUCCAAUUGUUCUUCCCUGCUCCGUCCUCUCCUCAUGGAGGAAAUAGUCCAGCCAAAUUAUCUGCCACUCUCACCAUCACCAGUGCCUGUUCUGCUUUCCACAACGCUCUCUUCUCUCCUGCUCCAAAUCUUGCUCAAAGCGUUUCCCUGCUUACCCAGAUCCCAAUCCAGGUUUGGGCUAGCUCUUCCUCAGCCCUGGAUCUCAUUCAAAUAUCUCUCACCAGUCCACUAAAACCACAUCAACCCUUUUCCUCUCAGCACACAUCCACUAGCAUGCUCUGAAGGGACUAAAACAAAUUAUUUCUCACCUGCUACAACACGAUUUGUUGGUCCCUAUCAACUCUCCAUACAACACUCCCAUUCUUCUAGCUCAAAAGACAGAUAGUCCAUGCUGAUUGGCCCAGAAUCUCUGCGCUGUCAAGCAAACGUCCCCUCCUAUUCAUUCUGUAGUGCCCAACACACACACGCUUUUAUCUUCUAUUUCCCCUUCUACUAGUCAGUCCCAGAUUUGAAGGAUGCUUCCUUCACUAUAUCCAUUGCCACAGCCUGUCUUCACUUUUACCUGGACACAUCCUGAGAGCUGACCUGGGCUUUCUACCCUCAAGAAGUGAAACAGCCUUCAUUCUUCUGACCAGUGUCUAGUCUAUGAUUUGUCCUUCUCCCACUUGUUCAGUUUUCACCUCAUACCAUAUGUAGAUGGCCACCUCCUCCGUAGGCACACUUAUAAAUCAUCCAGACCCUCCUUCUCUUACAACACUGAGAUAAAGAGCUCUUGUGUGUCUCCUUCCUGUGUUACAUAUAACUACAUGGAUAUCGUAAUAUCGUAAGAAUGAGUAACAUAAGCAGUCCUUGUGUAAAUUUUUAGUUUGAAAUCAAGAUACAAAACUGGAAGAAACCACAUAAUUUCUAAGGUUUCCAUAGAUUAAAUUUCAAAUUAAAUGAAUAACUUUUAUUCUUCCCAUCUUCCCUUACAGUAUGAGCAACAGCAAGAGAACACAAACAUUAAUAUAAUGAUUUAAAACAUUCACAUAAUUUGAAACGAAAUACAAAAUUAUUUUUAAUAAUUUGUUUAAAGAUAUAAAAACUCUACAAAUUAUUAAAAAUCAAAAGAACAUGAAAAGUCACUAAGAACUAAAUAAGACUGUAUAAGUGAAAAAUACAACAAAUUGAAAAACUCAAUAGAGAGUAUGUUAAACUCUGUUAUAAAAUGGGCUCUAGAAAAAAUCUGACAUUGUUUACAACUUAGUUUUUCUAGAAAAAUCUUUAGGAAAUGUGAUGGGAUAGAUAAAUGAGAUGGAGUAUAGCUCUAAUUAAUUCUGCAUAUCCUUCUGGGUUUGACUUUUCAUUCAAUUUUUCCACAGCUACUGACUUACCCCUUUUCAUAAAAUCAUAAUUAAGCUCAAUUUUAUAUUCUUUUCACCCAGAGUACCAAUUAUUUUUCAUUAUUAAUAAUUUGUAACUCAUGUAAAAUUCCAAGUUAAUUAUAGAACUGUUUUAUGUACCUGAAAUUUUUACUAAUGCAACAACCUCCUAUUCUUCUCAUCUCUCUAUGUUAACUAGAUUCUAUGCUGAGAGACUGCAAAAGCAUAAACAAACAUAGAAUUAAUAUAACUUAUAGAAUCUUGGUAUUUUUCCAAGAAGAUAGUUAUUGAUUACAAAGGUGAAAUAGAGAACUUUCCAUUGUCUUUAUAUUUUAAGUGACCAAAAUUAAUGUUUCCAAUAACAAUCUAUCUACAUGUGUUUCCUGAUGUAUUUUCUGGAGAAAGAAAAAGUUCACAUCUGUAAGUAUUUUUUACCAAAAAUGCAUAACCUCACUCUAAUCAUGAGAUACUAUGAGAAAAAAAUUUAAUUGAUUUUCUAAAAAUCAUAAGACCUAUGCUCUUCAUAAAGCGAAAGACAAAUGCAGACAGUGGGAACUGUCACAAGUUGGAAGGAGGUAAGAAAAGGUGCUAAUAAUAGCAGAGGGGUGGGGGCUGGGGAUUUAGCUCAGCGGCAUAAAUGCCUGCCUUGUAAGCAGGCAGUCGUGAGUUAAAUCCCUGGUGCCGAUAAAAAGGAAAAAGGCCAACAAUAAUAAUAAUAAUACAGGGGGUGACUAGAGGGGUAGUAUAAAAGGCACCACAGGGUGAUUAUCAAAAUGCUAAUGAGAUUUCCUAAUUUGAUAGGCUUAUUAUUCUUAUAUAAAAUACCAAUAUCCCCUGAGUCAAUUUAAAAUUUUUCAUUGUCAUAACUGCAUUUAUUAAUUGAAAUUUAGGGAAUACUUUUUAAUUCAAUAUUUACUUUUCAUUAUAAAUUCAUACAAUUUAUGUAGCACUACAUAUUGUUUCUAUAUUUUUAUUUUGUAAUUUUCAGAUCAAAUUAUCUGAAAUUUUUAAAGAAACUUUUUCCACAUUGUCUCCUCUGCUUUAUUUUGUCUUGCUAUCGUUUUUUAAACAGCUGCUCAUGCCAUCAGAUUUAACAUAAUCAAACAAAACAAAAAACAAUAAAUCUCAGCCCAACAAACAAUGAAAAUGAUAUGAUUUCCAGGUGGGCCUGCUUCCUGAUGAGGCCUUGUUCUUUCCCGCUGCAGUCCAUCAAUGGCUCUGACUCUCACUGAGAGGCUUAGGUCUAUUAGGUCUAUAGGUCUCCACUCCAGCAGGGGCCUGCGCAUAGCACUGGUGCCCAGGAAGGGUCACUUUCUGGUGGGGCUUGGUUCCCUAACCUCAUGAUCUACAAGUGGUGCUGAUUCCACUUUUUUUUUUUUUUUUUUUUUUUUUUUUUUGUACCGGUACUAGGGAUCGAACUCACGACCACGCGCUUGCAAGGCAGGCGCUUAUGCUGCUGAGCUAAAUCCACAGUGCUUACUGCCUCCACUUUUAAUAUUGCUUUGUCAUUUUUUAUUGCUUUUAUUUUCUGCCAUCAUAAGACCUGAUCCAAACAUCAAAUAAAGGAAAACUUCUAGUUUUAAUUUCUAAGUUCAGUAAUAUAGCUGAAUACAAAGUCAGCACAAAAAUAUAUAGCAUUUCUGUAAACAAAUAACAAAUGCACUGAGAGAAAAAAUCAGAAAACUGCCAUUUACAAUAACAUAAAAGAAUUAUAAACUUAAGAAUCAAUCUAACAAAGGAAAUAAAAGAUUUCUAUGUUGAAAAUUACACUACUCUGAAAAACGACAUUGAAGAGGGUAUCAGAAAAAGAGGAGAUAUCACUUGUUCUUGGAUAGGAAGAACCAAAAUUGUGAAAACGUUCAUAUUCUCUAAAUAUUUAAAUCAAUGAAAAAAACACCACUACCAUACCUCACAGGAUUAGAAAAAACAAUCCUAUAAUUUAUUUGGACCUAAAAGAAACAUAAUAGGAAAAUCAACUGUUACAAACUAAAGCAAAUCAGAAGUCAUCACAGUCCCUGUCUUUAAAUUACAUUUCAGUGCUACUAUGUUAAAAAAAACUGUGGUACUGAAGGAAAACAGCAACAACAACAACAACAACAAAAAAAAAAAAAAAACAGACAAACACACUUACAAACACACUCAAUCAGUUGAUUUUUGACAAAUACGCAAAUCAUGUCACUAGAAUGGAAGCCUCAUUAGUAUAUGAUGCUGGAAAAACUGGAUUUCCACAUACUUAAGAUUAAGACUAAAUCCCUGUCUAGCACCUUCCACUAAACUAAAAACAAAAUGAAUCAAAGAUCUGAAUAUUGAAACAGGAAUACUAAAUCUGCUGGAAAACUGAAUAGGUAGGACUCUGGACAACGUGGUAGAAGGCUAAGAUUUUAUGAACAAAACUUCGGUCUCUCUCUGUAGUGUUUGAAACUGAAAUUGUAAAUAAAAAUGAAAAUAUAUAAUAGAUACUGUGAAAUAAGGAGAAACUGUUCAAAAGGAAAUGAUAACUAUGGAUGAAGGAGAGUGAAAGAAAAAAAAGGGAAGGAAAAAAAUAGAAAAGAAGGAUAAAACGAAAACAGAACUUUGUGAAUGGAGAGGAAAACAGUUUGAAAGGAAGGGGAUGGAGGGGAAAAAAAGGAAUCAAAACAUAUGUAAAAACACAAAUACUGUGUAAUGCAUGGGAUCAUUAUGUGCACCUAAAUUGUACCAAUAAAUUUCUCAAGAUUCAAGUUGUUAAAAAGAAAAAUCUUGUGUACUUACCAUUAAAACAAAUAGAAUUACUUUGUUGGUGAUUAAAAUCAUAAAUGACAGAAAUUAA